rnacentral:rRNA from 1 species
AUACGUAGGUGGCGAGCGUUGUCCGGAUUUACUGGGUGUAAAGGGCGCGUAGGCGGGCUAUCAAGUCAGAUGUGAAAUACCGGGGCUUAACUCCGGAGCUGCAUUUGAAACUGACAGUCUUGAGUAUCGGAGAGGAAAGCGGAAUUCCUAGUGUAGCGGUGAAAUGCGUAGAUAUUAGGAGGAACACCAGUGGCGAAGGCGGCUUUCUGGACGACAACUGACGCUGAGGCGCGAAAGUGUGGGGAGCAAACAGGAUUAGAUACCCUGGUAGUCCACACCGUAAACGAUGGAUACUAGGUGUAGGAGGUAUCGACCCCUUCUGUGCCGGAGUUAACACAAUAAGUAUCCCACCUGGGGAGUACGGCCGCAAGGCUGAAACUCAAAUGAAUUGACGGGG